rnacentral:snRNA from 1 species
AGCUUUGCGCAGUGGCAGUGUCAUAGCCAAUGAGGUUUAUCUGAGGCGCGAUUAUUGCUAAUUAAAUUACAUACACAUAAUUGAUUAUCAGAAAAUGCUUUCAUUGAUUCUUGCUGAACCCAUGUUU